GACGAACGCUGGCGGCGUGCCUAACACAUGCAAGUCGAGCGGAGAUGUACUGAAGAUUUAUCGGAUGUACAUCUUAGCGGCGGACGGGUGAGUAACGCGUGGGCAACCUGCCUUUCACUGGGGGAUAACACAGGGAAACCUGUGCUAAUACCGCAUGACAUCACGUAGGGCAUCCUAUGUGAUCAAAGGAGAGAUCCGGUGGAAGAUGGGCCCGCGUCCAAUUAGCUGGUUGGUGAGGUAAAGGCUCACCAAGGCGACGAUUGGUAGCCGAACUGAGAGGUUGAUCGGCCACAUUGGGACUGAGACACGGCCCAGACUCCUACGGGAGGCAGCAGUGGGAAUAUUGCGCAAUGGGGGAACCCUGACGCAGCAACGCCGCGUGAAGGAAGAAGGUCUUCGGAUUGUAAACUUCUUUGAUGAGGGACGAAUAAAGUGACGGUACCUACAAAAACAGCCACGGCUAACUACGUGCCAGCAGCCGACGGUAAAAGUACUCUAC
rnacentral:rRNA from 1 species